rnacentral:rRNA from 1 species
CCUACGGGGAGCAGCAGUGGGGAAUAUUGCACAAUGGGGGAAACCCUGAUGCAGCGACGCCGCGUGAGCGAGGAAGUAUUUCGGUAGGUAAAGCUCUGUCAGCAGGGAAGAAGAAUGACGGUACCGGAAGAAGAAGCACCGGCUAAAUACGUGCCAGCAACCGCGGUAAUUCGGUUGGUGCAAGCGUUAGACGGAUUUACUGGGGGUAAAGCGCUCGUGGGCGGUAUGUCAAUGCAAGGGUGAAAGCCCCGCGCUCAACGUGGAGACUGCCUUUGAAACUGGCAAACUGGAGUGUGUGAGAGGAUAGUGGAAUUCCAGGUGUAGGAGUGAAAUCCGUAGAUAUCUGGAGGAACACCAGUGGCGAAGGCGACUAUCUGGCACAUAACUGACGCUGAGGAGCGAAAGCGUGGGUAGCAAACAGGAUUAGAUACCCCUGUAGUC